CCUACGGGUGGCAGCAGUCGAGAAUCAUUCACAUUGGGCGCAAGCCUGAUGGUGCGACGCCGCGUGGGGGAAUGAAGGUCUCCGGAUGUUAAAUCCUUGUCACGGGGACGCAGAUAGUAAAGAUAGUACCACAAGAGGAAGAGGCGACUAACUCUGGACCAGCAGCCGCGGUACGACAGAGGUAGCAAGCGUUGUUCGGAAUUACUGGGCGUAAAGCGUGCGUAGGCUGUUGUGUAAGUCGUGUGUGAAUAGCACGGGGUCAACCCGGGGACGGCAUAUGAUACUGUGCGACUUGAGUGAUGGAGGGGGAAGCGGAAUUCCCGGUGUAGCAGUGAAAUGCGUAGAUAUAGGGAGGAACACUCGUGGCGAAGGCGGGUUCCUGGACAUUAACUGACGCUGAGGCGCGAAGGCGAGGGGAGCGAAAGGGAUUAGAUACCCUUGUAGUC
rnacentral:rRNA from 1 species